rnacentral:misc_RNA from 1 species
AACCUUAUGGACCUGCGGGCGUAUACCUGCGGAGGGAUCAUUACAGAGUUGCAAAACUCCCUAAACCAUUGUGAACGUUACCUAAACCGUUGCUUCGGCGGGCGGCCCGGGUCCUUCCCGGCGCCCCUCGGCCCUCGCGGGCGCCCGCCGGAGGUAAACCAAACUAUUGCAUUGUAUGGCCUCUCUGAGUCUUCUGUACUGAAUAAGUCAAAACUUUUAACAACGGAUCUCAGAUCGGAA